rnacentral:rRNA from 1 species
UGAAGAGAAGAUUUAUUCAAGAAUUUUGUGUAAAAUGUCGGCGAGCGGCGGACGGCUGAGUAACGCGUGGGAACGUACCCCAAAGUGAGGGAUAACGCAUCGAAAGGUGUGCUAAUACCGCAUAUGGUCUUCGGAUUAAAGCCUUCGGGCGCUUUGGGAACGGCCUGCGUAAGAUUAGAUAGUUGGUGGGGUAAUGGCCUGCCAAGUCGACGAUCUUUAACUGGUUUGAGAGGAUGAUCAGUCAGACUGGAACUGAGACACGGUCCAGACUCCUACGGGAGGCAGCAGUGAGGAAUCUUCCACAAUGGGCGAAAGCCUGAUGGAGCAACGCCGCGUGCAGGAUGAAGGCCUUCGGGUUGUAAACUGCUUUUAUAAGUGAGGAUUAUGACAGUAACUUAUGAAUAAGGAUCGGCUAACUACGUGCCAGCAGCCGCGGUCAUACGUAGGAUCCGAGCGUUAUCCGGAGUGACUGGGCGUAAAGAGUUGCGUAGGUGGUUCGAUAAGCGAAUAGUGAAAUCUGGUGGCUCAACCAUUCAGACUAUUAUUCGAACUGUUGAACU